rnacentral:rRNA from 1 species
UGGGGAAUAUUGCACAAUGGGCGAAAGCCUGAUGCAGCAACGCCGCGUGAGCGAUGAAGGCCUUCGGGUCGUAAAGCUCUGUCCUCAAGGAAGAUAAUGACAGUACUUGAGGAGGAAGCCCCGGCUAACUCCGUGCCAGCAGCCGCGGUAAUACGUAGGGGGCUAGCGUUAUCCGGAAUUACUGGGCGUAAAGGGUGCGUAGGUGGUUUCUUAAGUCAGAGGUGAAAGGCUACGGCUCAACCGGAGUAGGCCUUUGAAACUGGGAAACUUGAGUGCAGGAGAGGAGAGUGGAAUUCCGAGUGUAGCGGUGAAAUGCGUAGAUAUUAGGAGGAACACCAGUUGCGAAGGCGGCUCUCUGGACUGUAACUGACACUGAGGCACGAAAGCGUGGGGAGCAAACA